rnacentral:lncRNA from 1 species
AGAAGUUCCAGAAUACUGGUCGGGCUGCUCACAACAGCUACUUGGAAUACUCAAGUUCAAGAUGGAAAUUGGCACACUCCAAGGGAUUCAGCCAACAUAAUUUGAUAAAAAAAGACGUUAUAAGUAUGAAUAAGAAGCUGGCAUAUACUUCGGCUAGUAGCAUUGCAACGCAAACAGUAUGACAAGGUACCACGCAUUGUUUAAGAGCUAAGACAAAGACAAAACUGAUGCAUCCAACGUACCAAAAAGAAAGCGAACAGCAGCAGUCAGAUAGCUAUGAGAAGAGAACUAGGAGAGGGAUAACUAGAAGGGACAGAAUGGCAUCCAUGGGUCCAUGACGUUUAGUCGACCUCCUCCAUCUUGCUCUCGCCGGCGUCGUCCUCCAGCGGCGGCAUGUCGGCGUCAGCCUCGGCGGACUCGUCCUCGUCGAUGCUCAGGCCGAGCUUGAGCAUGCGGUGGAUCCUGGUGCCGAAGGUGUUGGGGUCCUCCAAGCUGAAACCGGAGGUCAGCAGGGCAGUCUCGAAGAGCAGCAUCACCAGGUCCUUCACGGACUUGUCAUUCUUGUCCGCAUCGGCACGCUUGCGGAGCUCGUCCAUGAUGGCAUUCUCCGGGUUGAUCUCCAUGGUCUUCUUGCUAGACAUGUAGCCGGCCAUGCUGGAGUCCCUCAGAGCCUGGGCCUUCAUGAUCCUCUCCAUGUUAGCAGUCCAGCCAUACUCCCCAGUGACUAGACAGCAGGGAGAGUCCACCACACGGUCAGAGACAACAACCUUCUCCACCUUGUCACCGAGCACCUCCUUGAUCACCUUGCACAGACCCUCGAACUUCUCCUUGAGUUCCUCCUGCCGCUUCUUCUCGUCCUCACUCUCAUCAAGCUUCAGACCUUCCUUGGUGGCAGAGACGAGCUUCUUGCCUUCAAACUCCUUAAGCUGACCAACAGCGUACUCAUCAAUGGCAUCAACCAUGUACAGGACCUCAUAACCCUUCUUCUUCAGCUUCUCGAGGAAGGGGGAGUUCUCAACAGCCUUCUUGCUCUCACCAGUGAUGUAAUAGAUCUCACUCUGGCCCUCCUUCAUCCGGGUUACGUAGUCCUUGAGGCUGGUCAACUCAUCACCACUCUUGGUGGAGUGAUACCUCAGGAGCUCAGCAAUCUUGGUCCUGUUGGUGGAAUCCUCAUGGAUGCCAAGCUUGAGAUUCUUGGAGAAAGCCUCGUAGAACUUGUUGUAGUCUUCCUUGUUCUCAGCGAUCUCAAAGAAGAGCUCCACGCACUUCUUCACAAGGUUCUUGCGGAUCACCUUCAGGAUCUUGUUCUGCUGGAGCAUCUCACGUGAGAUGUUGAGGGGAAGGUCUUCAGAAUCAACAAUGCCCUUGACAAAGCUGAGCCACUCUGGGAUCAACUCCUCACAGUUGUCCAUGAUAAACACCCGGCGUACGUACAGCUUGAUGUUGUUUUGCUUCUUCCUGGUGUCAAAGAGGUCAAAUGGCGCUCUCUUUGGUACAAACAGGAUGGCCUUGAAUUCAAGCUGACCCUCCACAGAGAAGUGCUUGACAGCCAGAUGUUCCUCCCAGUCGUUUGUCAAGCUCUUGUAGAAAGCAGCGUACUCUUCCUUGGUGAUCUCCUCUGGCUUCCUCAACCAAAUGGGUUUCUGCUUGUUCAUCACGUUCCACUCGUGAGAGACUUCCUUGAUCUUCUUCUUUUUCUUCUCUUUCUCUUCCUUCUCCUCAUCAACAUCCUCAACCUUUCCCUCCUCAGCAUCCUUCUUCUCUUCCUCGUCUUCAUCAUCAGAAAUCUCCUUCUCAGUUGUCUUCUCAGUCCAUAGGGAGAUAGGGUAGCUGAUGAACUCAGAAUGCUUCUUCACCAGAUCCUUGAGGCGACGCUCCUCAAGGUAUUCCAGCUGCAAGCAAAAAUUGCAGUUGUUUAUUAAACAACAAACAGCAAGAGAACACAAGAGACAAGAAACAAAACAAACAAUACAAGUAUUUAUUUCAACAAGGUGUUAUGCUGCUAUGCAUUCUGAUAAGAACAUUGGGACAAACGAUAUACUCCCUCCGUUUCGAAAUGUUUGACGCCGUUGACUUUUUAGCACAUGUUUGACCGUUCGUCUUAUUCAAAAAAAUUAAGUAAUUAUUAAUUCUUUUCCUAUCAUUUGAUUCAUUGUUAAAUAUAUUUUUGUGUAGGCAUAUAAUUUUACAUAUCUCACAAAAGUUUUUGAAUAAGACGAACGGUCAAACAUGUGCUAAAAAAGUCAACGGUGUCAAACAUUUCAAAACGAAGGGAGUAUAUAAAUUGAUUAGCAGAAUACAACAACAAAGACAGACCAUAACUAUGUAACAAUGUUAGCAUACAAGGAAGUCAUAACUACAGCACAAAAGAACAGAGACAAGCUGAAAAGCAGUAAAUCUCAAAAUUCAUUUCAUGUUAAUGGAAAACAGUAAGAUGUAUACAACUAAAUCUCAAAAUUCAUUUCAUAUUAAUGGAAAACAGUAAGAUGUAUACAACAGCAAAUAUGCAUUGUUACAACUAAUACUAUUGCUUCAUUAAGUGAUUACUACCGAGGAAACCCAGAUCACUAGUUCAGAAUUACAGUUUAGCGGCAUUGUUAAUUUUUAGUCAAUAUAACCAAGAGAGCAAGAUACCACUAUUCCAAAAACUGCUGUACACCCCUAAUCUAUACAGUUCAUUUAUUGUAGCAUACAAGGAAGUCACAACUACAGCACAAAAGAACAGAAAGACAAGCUGAAAGCAGUAAAUCUCAAAAUUCAUUUCAUGUUAACGGAAAACAGUAAGAUGUAUACUACACCAAAUAUAUAUUGUUACAACUAAUACUAUUGUUUAAUUAAGUGAUUACUACCAAAGAAACCCAUAUCACUAGUUCAGAAUUACGGUUUAUCAGCAAUGUUGAUUUUCAGUAAAUGUAACCAAGAGAACAAGAUACCACUAUUCCAAAAACUGCUGUACACCCCUAAUCUAUACAGUUCAUUUAUUGUACUACAAAAUGAGCACCAUGUCAUCAAGACAACCUCUUAUUAAAGUAGCAAGAAUAUUUCUUCAGAACAUGCUAACAGUCAAGAAAGAUCAUGUACACUGGUAGCAUGCCAACUCAACCAUACAGGCCCGAACUCAUCCAAUUGUCAUAUGUACAGAACAUCUAAAGUUCUGACAAAAAAAACAUCACAUGGACAGCAACAUAUAUCACACAAGUAAUAGGAAUUCACAAGAGAAAUGUGCUGAAUCUUAUACCUGAUCAUCCUUGAGGUAGAGGGUGAUCUUAGUACCCCGUCCAAGCUGCUCACCAGAGGUAUCACGUGUAACAGUGAAGGACCCACCGGCCUGUGACUCCCACACAUACUGCUCGUCGUCGUUGUGCUUGGUGGUCACAACAACCCUCUCAGCAACAAGGUAGGCGGAGUAGAACCCGACACCAAACUGCCCAAUCAUGGACACAUCAGCACCAGCAGCGAGCGCCUCCAUGAACUCCUUGGUCCCCGACCUGGCGAUGGUACCGAGGUUGUUGACGAGGUCCGACUUGGUCAUGCCGACACCACUGUCGAUGAUCGACAGGGUGUUGCUAGCCUUGUCGGGGACAAUGUGGAUGAACAGCUCCGGCUGCGCAUCGAGCUUGCUCUUGUCCGUGAGGCUCUCGAACCUAAUCUUAUCCAAUGCCUGCAGAAACCACACACACCCAUGUCACAUCGAAUUCAUCACCCAAACACACAGAUCUGUAAAAGCAUCAGCACACUACCACACUAUACAGAUUACACGCACGGGUAAACACACAACCCUCGCUGAUUUGUAACAAGUUUAUGCUAGUGCUCAGAUGUGGCCAUAUUCACAUUUCGAUGAGUAAAACAAACAAAUAAACUAGCACAAACUCUACAAAUCACGAGUCAACGCUCACACCUCAUUGAUUUGAAACAGGUCUACGCCCUAUCAGUAUAUGAUCCUCAGAUGCCGUCACGCUCACAGAUCGACGCGUACAACAACAGCAAAGAGCACAUAAGCAAGCACCGAUUUCGAUUCCUCGACGAGAGGGGAUUAAUUUCGGGGGCGGCGCAAACUUACAUCGGAGGAGUUGGAGAUGAGCUCGCGGAGGAAGAUCUCCUUGUUGGAGUAGAAGGUGUUGAUGAUGAGGGACAGCAGCUGGUUGAUCUCGGCCUGGAAGGCGAACGUCUCGGUCUCCGACGCCAUGGCCGCGCGCCUUGCGUGCUCCUGAUCUCUCGCCGGCGGGAAGAGGAGCUCGCGGGCGGAGGAGACGACGCGCGGCUGCGGCUGCGGCUGCGGCGGCGGCUAGGGUUAGGAGAGGGUUUUGAGAGGGCGAGAUCGUGGGGGUGGGAGAUGCUUUUAUGCGGUCCUCGUUGUUCUCGAACCUUCUACGUGGGCCUAGAAGCCGGCGAGGCCGCAGCGCGUGUUGACUAGUCGUUGCGGGUGGGCCAGGCCGGACCGGCAGUGAGAUUUUGCGCGUGAUUAGGUGUAGUGGGCGUAUAGAAGGCCAUAAAAUUCUGAAGAAAAUGAGGCCCAUAAAGCCCAUGAAGACAAGCGAGGGUCCAGUGGCCCGUAAAGCCCAUGAAAACAAACUAGGAUCAAGUCGCCAAUGAAGUCUAUGAAAACAAGCUAUGAAGCGCAUUCAAGACAGUAGAGGGUCCAGUCGCCGGCGAAGCCCAUGGAAAGAAAGGGAGGGUCAAGAGGAGAGAUUUGAUAAUUUAACCCUUUUCAAAAUGGGUUUCGAUUAUUAGAUUCUAAACCACUUUAAUCCACUCAGAUAGUCCCACGUGAAGUUGGAGAUGGAUAUUUGCAAAUAAACCCCUUCUACUAUUAUAGGCAUGUUCAGAUUGUAGCCAAAAUAAACCUUACCAAGUUUUGGCAAUACCAAAAUUUUAACAAGAUGGCAAUAUUGCCAACAUUUUGGCAGGAUUUCUUAUGUAUUGACCAAAUUUGGUAACAAACUAAACGUAUAUAUUUUUUGGCAACUUUGACAAAAAAAAUGGUAUGGUUGAAAAUGGCAUCAAAAUGAACAGGCCCUAUGUGUUCAAGAGUAUUAGUUGGAUACUUCCGGCCUCAUCGGUUACUCAUAUUUUCUAAUAAGCCAUUUUGGUUCAUUAGAUAAUAAAAAACUAAUUUAUUGGUAAAACUUUUUAUACAUGUGUUCUUAACGAUUUAAAAGUCGAUGCUGAAAAAAAAACUAUGUUGAAAAAAAUCUUUAAAUCAACUUCAAAAUUAAGUUUAAAAAUUCAAAUUUUAUCUUUUGCUUUGGCUUAUUAAGGCAACCGAUGGGGCUCUUCUUCUUUCUGUACAGAAAACAAUAUAGUUCAUUAGCACAUGAUUAAAUAUUAGUAAAAGAAUAAAAAUAGAUUAAUAUGAUUUUAAAAAUUCAACUUUUCUAUAGUAAAUUUUUUUAAGAAAAACACAAUGUUUAGUUGUUGAAGAAAUAUGCAUGAAAAACAAGGGAGUAAAAAGUGGAAAAGUGGUGUUUCUACCCUUCAACCAGAUGCAGCCAUGCAGGUCAUCUGCAAUAUUGUACAUGCAAUAUUGCUCACUGACAUGUGAACCCCAUAGCCUCUCGGGCUCACAUGUAAGUGAGCAGUACUGCUCAAUUGUCCUUCAACCAUCCUGUGGUCAGCACCACAAAUGGACGGAACGAGAGAUCGUGCGGUUGCACAUGAUUUAACGCCUUAAUUAACUACUCCAAGAUAUUAACCGCACUAAUGUCCUGCACCUGUGUUUGACUCGAGAGGGUAAUUAGCGUGGACGUCACUAAUGAUGGUCGUCGUCUACUCGUCUUUCGUACUCAGUGCGAUCGAUGAAGUGACAGUAAAUGUUAGCUAGCCAUGCACUUUGUACAGUUUCUUCGCCCAUUUCUGCACGCGGCUGACUGACCAGAUGCAAUGCACUUGUACACGUUUGGUAGGCCGUCUUCGAUCCAUUCCCGGUUAAUCAAAUGAUAUAUGUAAUUAUGUAUAUCUUCUCUUGUAUAUAUGCAGCAUGCUAGUAUAAUGUUAGGUACAGUUCUUUUGGGUUAUUUUUUUUAUCUCGAUUUUGUCAUGGCAACUACGAGCAAACGCUGCUUUUCCUGCUUGUCCUACGAGCCUGAACAAACGGCAGGAUGUUGCACAAAGUGACAGUCCUUGUUAGGUUUCUGCUCUUCUGCACUGCACUAUCCAUUUGCAAAUAUUUUGCAUGGAAGCUAGCAGAAAAUGCUAUGUGUUGUUCAUGAGUCUAAUCAAAGUUAAUUAAUCAAAUCUGAUGCUGUCUAAGGAGCAUAUUGGAAUGCAUCAAUCAUAUGAGUGUGUGUAACUUAUUGGUGCCCUUUGUGUGCCAAUGUCUCAUCCUCUGUCAUGUUCUCAAUGUAUCAACGCUGUAACUUCUCAAGAAUCAAUGUUUAUGUACUACUACUACAACUACAUAGUUUAACUAACUCCUAACCAGGGCUAAACUGAACCAACUAAACAAUUACGGAGUAUUACUGAACAACAAGAACAGCGCUUAAUUAGCAAUGCGCGUUUCGUUUCAUCUCACGCAGCAAUGACACACGCUUGCAACGCACCAGCUGUGUUUGUGAUCACUUUGUCAGUGCAUCAGCAAAUCGAGCACUGCAUGCAUACGCAUUUCCUGCUUUCUGGCGUGGUGGAGGCAGGAAAGCAACCUCCAACAUAUCAGCAUUCACCACCCAAUAUAUUACACAAUUUGUGACACAGGUCGGUCUCUCUGCCUGCCUUUCGGAACGGGAAGAGGUGUCAUUUUCCUAUGCCCAUUUCGAUCGUAGCCAAAUUGAUCUAGAUUUGAAAUAAAUUAUAUAUAUAUAUAUAUAUAUAUAUAUAUAUAUAUAUAUGGCAACGUAAUCCUUCUGUUUUAAAAUAUAAGCAUUUCGCAUUCAGGUUCCAAUGGGCAAGAAUUCAAGCAUUCUAAUCAAUCAGGUGCUUAUACGGUGAAUCCAGACAAUUCGAAAUUUGACCGGAAUUCUUUUUUCUUAUCCUUUAUCUUUGCUAAACAUCAUAGGAACAUUUACAUUUAGAGCGAUGCUGGGGAUCCACUUAAUUUAAGUGGCUCCGACUUGACGUACGACUGAUCUAAACGGCAAUUUACGCUCAGUCUGUGUUUAGUUCCACACUAAAAUUAGAAGUUUAAAAAAAUAGGAAUGAUGUGAUGGAAAAGUUGAAAAUUUGCGUACGUAGGAAAGUUCGAUGUGAUAAAAAAAUUAGAAGUUUGAAAAAAAAGUUGAAAUCUAAACAGGGCCUCCGUAGUGCGCGUGUUCGUGCUCGUGCAAUCAAGUUGGAUCGAGUUGGGAGUUGGAGUUGACAGUUCGUCACUAGCUCGAUCGCUAGUCGUCGCCGUGUGUGUAAUGCCAUGGUGCUCCUUGAUCGGACGCCGGCUAGUAGCUAGCCAGCAGCGUGUGUGGCGAACAACCUAAUCUUUUUCCUUCGCACGGGCGGCCGGCUGACGGCGACGAGCCGCCGACGACGAGGAGGACGACUUUGACGCCCGCGUGUGGUGUGGACCAGGGCACCAACAGCAGUGGUGGUUUAUGCGUUGCCAACUACUGACGAGAUGCUAUAUAAGCAGCAGCAAUGGCCAUCGCUUCAGCUGCACGGACAAAUUAAGCGAGGGAGUGAGAGCUAGCUAACUCAGGCUCAGCCAACUGAUCGCGAGCUGUGACGAGGUGAUCACCAUGGCGUCCUCGUCGUCGCUUCUUGUUCGUGGGAGAGCGUUCGCGCUGGUUGUGGCUGUAGCUCUGGUGGCUGCUCCUCGCCGGAUUAAUGGCGGCGCCGCCGGGCCGGCGGCGAGGACGAACGACCCCAACUGGCACGUCUUCAGCGUCAGCUCGCUGCUGCCGAGCUCGGCCUGCACUGCAUCGAAAGGUAGUGUCAGUUUUGCAGCCUGUCUCCUUUCGCAACUGUAUCUGAAACUGAAGCAGUUACUGCGGAAAAAUAAUGUAACCUGGUCGGCCAUUAACCAUCUCGAUCGAACUUGCUUUAUAUAAAUCUCGUCCAUUUGAUCAAACUGAGGAAUUGAAAAACCCAAUAAGAAAUCUGUUAGGCCAAUUUGGAGUAUGGUUAGUCUGUAUCCUGCAAACAAGUAUUGUGACUGAAGUAGCAUCUGCAUUAUUCUGAAAUUUUAGUACCACUGAAACUCAGCUACCGUGAUAGCAUAUGCAGCAUAUAUCGAAUUUAUAAGAUAUUCUAAGGGAAACAUAAUAUGUUUUACAGUAGUAUUGAUCAGAAUUACAUCAGGUAAUCUGUUGCUGAUUGAUGCGAGUAAACUUUUGGCAUGCUGAUGACUGAUCACUACACAAAAUUUUCAGUGCAGUAAAAAGCUUUGGGGCGGUUCAGAUUAAAGCCAUUUUUAACCAUACCAUUUUUUUUAAGUUGUCAAAAAAUAUAUACGUUUAGUUUAUUGCCAAAUAUGAUAAAUAAAUAAAUAAUCCUACUAAAAUUUUAGCAAUACUACCAUCUUACCAUCUUGCCAAAAUUUGGUAAGAUUUAUUUUAGCUACAAUCUGAACAUUCCCUUUCUUUGCUUCGAGUUGCAUUUGCACAAAUUGCAUUUCUCAUUUUCCCAUUCUGUUUUUCUUGCAGCGGCGUCCAACUCGUCGGCUCUCGGCGUCGUGCACCGGCACGGGCCGUGCUCGCCGGUGCAGGCUCGUCCUCGCGGCGGCGGCGGCGCUGUCACCCACGCCGAGAUCCUGGAACGCGACCAGGCCAGGGUCGACUCCAUCCACCGCAAGGUCGCCGGCGCCGGGGGCGCGCCGUCGGUGGUCGACCCGGCACGCGCCUCGGAGCAGGGCGUGUCGCUGCCGGCGCAGAGGGGCAUCUCCCUCGGCACCGGCAACUACGUCGUGUCCGUCGGGCUCGGGACGCCGGCGAAGCAGUACGCCGUGAUCUUCGACACCGGCAGCGACCUGUCGUGGGUGCAGUGCAAGCCCUGCGCCGACUGCUACGAGCAGCAGGACCCGCUGUUCGACCCGUCGCUGUCGUCGACGUACGCCGCCGUGGCGUGCGGCGCGCCGGAGUGCCAGGAGCUCGACGCGUCGGGCUGCUCGUCGGACAGCAGGUGCCGGUACGAGGUCCAGUACGGCGACCAGUCGCAGACCGACGGCAACCUCGUGCGCGACACGCUGACGCUCUCGGCGUCGGACACGCUCCCGGGCUUCGUCUUCGGGUGCGGCGACCAGAACGCCGGGCUGUUCGGCCAGGUCGACGGGCUGUUCGGCCUCGGCAGGGAGAAGGUGUCGCUGCCGUCGCAGGGCGCGCCGAGCUACGGCCCCGGAUUCACCUACUGCCUACCGUCGUCGUCGAGCGGCAGGGGCUACCUGUCCCUCGGCGGCGCCCCGCCGGCGAACGCGCAGUUCACGGCGCUGGCCGACGGCGCGACGCCGUCGUUCUACUACAUCGACCUCGUCGGCAUCAAGGUCGGCGGCCGCGCGAUCAGGAUCCCGGCGACGGCGUUCGCGGCGGCCGGCGGCACGGUGAUCGACUCCGGCACGGUGAUCACCCGCCUCCCGCCGCGCGCGUACGCGCCGCUCCGCGCGGCGUUCGCGCGCUCCAUGGCGCAGUACAAGAAGGCGCCCGCGCUGUCCAUCCUCGACACGUGCUACGACUUCACCGGCCACCGGACGGCGCAGAUACCCACGGUGGAGCUGGCGUUCGCCGGCGGCGCCACCGUCAGCCUCGACUUCACCGGCGUGCUCUACGUCUCCAAGGUGUCGCAGGCGUGCCUGGCGUUCGCGCCCAACGCCGACGACUCGUCCAUCGCCAUCCUCGGGAACACGCAGCAGAAGACGUUCGCCGUCGCGUACGACGUUGCCAACCAGAGGAUCGGCUUCGGCGCCAAGGGAUGCAGCUGAUUACAAUCCGAGAUGAUGAAUCAAUCGAUCAUUUUGUUUUGUUACAGUGACAUAUAUAUGGGGAAAAAAUAGUGAAAAAAAACUGCAAUAAAUAAGCAUCAUCGAUAGUGACAUGGAAGAAGUUGAAAACCGUUAAAAAUAUUUUUGAUGCAAACCAGUUCGGGCUAGUAACAGUAUUACAGUGUGCCUGAUAGUAGCACAUUUCAGGCUUUAUUUAAUUAUUUUUUUAUCACUCUCUGGACACUGAACAGUGAACACUAUACUACCACAAGAGGCAGCAGCUCACACAGUGAAAACCGAAAAGAUGUUACGGUGGUUUAUGGUACGAGUGUAAGUGGCGUGAAAUCCACUUGUAGGCUAAAAUAAACCGCAAAUCCACUUAUAAAUUAAAAUAAGUGGGUUCGCGGCUCACCGACCAACACCCAUAGUCUACCCACUUACACCGUCUAUGGCACGCCAUGGUGAUUGAUGGCGUCGGUGGCGGUGUCAACGCGGCCGGUGCCGGCGGCGGCAGCGGCGGUGUCGCCUUGUUGGUGGCGGCGCUGUGUGGCGACGGGGACGGCGGUGCCGGGGAUGGUGGGGGCGUCGGUGCCGCAGCCGCCGUGGGGGACGUCGGAGACGGGGAGGUGGCCGCGGGCGCCGUAGGCGCGCAGCUUGUAGUCCUCCAGGCCGUCGUCCUUCUUGUACUGCACGUACGGGCUGGUGUCCAUCGGCAGCUGCACCGUGUCGCCGGCGUCCGGCUUCCUCUGCUGCUGCUGCUGCUGGGUCUCCUUGGUUGCCUCCAUUGCAAGUCCUCCGCUUGAUCUGCAGCAAGAGUGCAGCCUUGUUUCUCUGAAUGUGUACUUGACCUGGUAGUAUCCAACACUGUUUAUAAUGGAUGUUGCUUUUGGCCUACUACUAGUAGAAUCCAAGACUAGUUUUAUGUGUGUGGAUAGAGCUAGGGAUUCGGGUUUCAUGGCCACCUCGCCAUGGCAGUGCACCAGGUGUCAAGCAGAGGAAGUACUCACGACGGGCAAUCGACACGUACCUCUAACCUCUGCCUCCGAUCCGAUACAGAUGCACGUGAGCUCAGCCAGCAGAUCAGCCGACACGUACCUCACGAUGUCCUCACAACGCAAAAACGCAUAUGUGCUCCAUCUCUCAACCGGCGGAUCAGUUCGUCAGUUGGGUUUGUGCUAGAGCGGAGGGGCAGAAAUUACUGGUCCACUACUACUAAGUAGUACUCGAGGUCGACCAAAGAUGAUUGAAACAACGAAAAGAUGAUUGAAACGGAAACAGAAAGCUCUCGAGGUCGACCAAAGAUGAUUGAAACAACGAAAUUCCCUGCAGAUGGUUAAUUGAUCAAAGCAAGAAGACAUUCGAGGCAUUCUAUCUUGCAGGCAUCAACAGUGAACAAACAUUCCAUCACUCAUUCAAACUAAAUAGCCUUGUACUAACAAAUUGAAGUUCAAGAAUACUGCAGGCUAAAAAUGGUCCAUCAUUCCAUCAAUUUGCAGCAACCAGGCAUACUAAGCUUACCAUCCACUAUCUAGCCAUACAAUAACAGAUGGAAGAAGUUCCAGCAUACUGCGGGCAAACAAUGGUCCAUCAUUCCAUCAAUUUGCAGCAACCAGGCUUAUUAGGAAGAAGUUCCAGAAUACUGGUCGGGCUGCUCACAACAGCUACUUGGAAUACUCAAGUUCAAGAUGGAAAUUGGCACACUCCAAGGGAUUCAGCCAACAUAAUUUGAUAAAAAAAGACGUUAUAAGUAUGAAUAAGAAGCUGGCAUAUACUUCGGCUAGUAGCAUUGCAACGCAAACAGUAUGACAAGGUACCACGCAUUGUUUAAGAGCUAAGACAAAGACAAAACUGAUGCAUCCAACGUACCAAAAAGAAAGCGAACAGCAGCAGUCAGAUAGCUAUGAGAAGAGAACUAGGAGAGGGAUAACUAGAAGGGACAGAAUGGCAUCCAUGGGUCCAUGACGUUUAGUCGACCUCCUCCAUCUUGCUCUCGCCGGCGUCGUCCUCCAGCGGCGGCAUGUCGGCGUCAGCCUCGGCGGACUCGUCCUCGUCGAUGCUCAGGCCGAGCUUGAGCAUGCGGUGGAUCCUGGUGCCGAAG